GCUGGGUGUGGUGGUUCAUGCCUGUAUUCCCAGCGUCGUGGGAGGCUGAGGCUGGAGGAUCAUGAGUUCAAAGCCAGUCUCAGCAAAAGGGAGGCGCUAAGCAACUCAGUGAGACCCUGUCUCUA
rnacentral:sRNA from 1 species